CCUACGGGAGGCAGCAGUGGGGAAUAUUGGACAAUGGGCGCAAGCCUGAUCCAGCCAUGCCGCGUGAGUGACGAAGGCCUUAGGGUUGUAAAGCUCUUUUGGCGGGGACGAUAAUGACGGUACCCGCAGAAUAAGCUCCGGCUAACUUCGUGCCAGCAGCCGCGGUAAUACGAAGGGAGCUAGCGUUGUUCGGAAUUACUGGGCGUAAAGGGCGCGCAGGCGGGCGGGAAAGUCUUUCGUGAAAGCCCACGGCUCAACCGUGGAAUUGCGUGAGAUACUACUCGUCUUGAGUCCGGGAGAGGAGUGUGGAAUUCCCAGUGUAGCGGUGAAAUGCGCAGAUAUCGGGAGGAACACCAGUAGCGAAGGCGGUUCUCUGGGCCGGCACUGACGCUGAGGAGCGAAAGCGUGGGGAGCAAACAGGAUUAGAUACCCUGGUAGUCCACGCCGUAAACGUUGGAUACUAGGUGUGGCGUCCCGAUUAACGGUCGCUGUGCCGAAGCUAACGCAUUAAGUAUCCCGCCUGGGGAGUACGGCCGCAAGGCUAAAACUCAAAGGAAUUGACGG
rnacentral:rRNA from 1 species